rnacentral:rRNA from 1 species
UACGUAGGGUGCGAGCGUUAUCCGGAAUUAUUGGGCGUAAAGCGUUCGUAGGUGGUUUGUUAAGUAGGGCGUUAAAUCUUCGGGCUUAACCCGAAGUUGGCGUCCUAAACUGGCUCACUAGAGAUAGGUAGAGGUAAGCGGAAUUCUGUAUGUAGGGGUAAUAUCCGUAGAUAUGCAGAGGAACACCAAAAGCGAAAGCAGCUUACUGGACCUGUUCUGACACUCAAGAGCGAAAGCGUGGGGAGCAAACGGG